rnacentral:rRNA from 1 species
GCAAGUCGAACGCGAAAGUCCCCUUCGGGGGGCAAGUAGAGUGGCGCACGGGUGAGUAACACGUAGGUAAUCUACCUUUGGAUGGGGAAUAACAACCGGAAACGGUUGCUAAUACCGCAUAAUGCAGCGGCACCUAAUGGUGACAGUUGUUAAAGCGGGGGAUCGCAAGACCUCGCGUCUGAAGAGGAGCCUGCGGCAGAUUAGCUAGUUGGUAAGGUAACGGCUUACCAAGGCGAUGAUCUGUAGCCGGCCUGAGAGGGCGGUCGGCCACACUGACACUGACACACGGGUCAGACUCCUACGGGAGGCAGCAGUCGGGAAUUUUGGGCAAUGGGCGAAAGCCUGACCCAGCAACGCCGCGUGAAGGAUGAAAUCCCUCGGGAUGUAAACUUCGCAAGAGCAGGAAGAAUAAGUAAGAGUUAACAUCUCUUACGAUGACGGUACUGUUUGUAAGCUCCGGCUAACUCCGUGCCAGCAGCCGCGGUAAUACGGGGGGAGCAAGCGUUGUUCGGAUUUACUGGGCGUAAAGGGCGCGUAGGCGGCCACCGCAAGUCGACUGUGAAAUCUCCGGGCUUAACCCGGAAAGGUCAGCCGAUACUGCGGGGCUAGAGUGCAGAAGGGGCAACUGGAAUUCUCGGUGUAGCGGUGAAAUGCGUAGAUAUCGAGAGGAACACCUGCGGCGAAGGCGGGUUGCUGGGCUGACACUGACGCUGAGGCGCGAAAGCUAGGGGAGCGAACGGGAUUAGAUACCCCGGUAGUCCUAGCCUUAAACGAUGAAUGCUUGGUGUCU